rnacentral:lncRNA from 1 species
GGAAAGAUCAGAAAGAACAGAAAUAACGGAAAUAAUAACGGAAAUAGCAGAAAAAAAUAACGGAAAUAAUAACGGAAAUAACGGAAAUAACGGAAAGAACCUCCAGAGAGACAGAAACAUACGGCAGAAAAUUAGGUGACAGGUCUAGAACAACAACAGACAUAACGGAAAUAACGGAAGUAAUGGAAAUAACCUCCAGAGAGACAGAAACAAAUGGCAGAAAAUUAGGUGACAGGUGAAGAACAACAACGGAAAGAUCAGAAAGAACAGAAAUAACGGAAAUAAUAACGGAAAUAGCAGAAAAAAAUAACGGAAAUAAUAACGGAAAUAACGGAAAUAACGGAAAGAACCUCCAGAGAGACAGAAACAUACGGCAGAAAAUUAGGUGACAGGUCUAGAACAACAACAGACAUAACGGAAAUAACGGAAGUAAUGGAAAUAACCUCCAGAGAGACAG